rnacentral:rRNA from 2 species
CAACGGAUCUCUUGGCUCUCGCAUCGAUGAAGAACGCAGCGAAAUGCGAUAAGUAAUGUGAAUUGCAGAAUUCAGUGAAUCAUCGAAUCUUUGAACGCACCUUGCGCUCCUUGGUAUUCCGAGGAGCAUGCCUGUUUGAGUGUCAUUAAAUUCUCAACCUU